rnacentral:rRNA from 1 species
UGGGGAAUAUUGCGCAAUGGGGGAAACCCUGACGCAGCCAUGCCGCGUGGGUGAAGAAGGCCUUCGGGUUGUAAAGCCCUUUCAACGGUGAAGAUGAUGACUGUAGCCGUAGAAGAAGCCCCGGCUAACUUCGUGCCAGCAGCCGCGGUAAUACGAAGGGGGCUAGCGUUGUUCGGAAUUACUGGGCGUAAAGGGCGUGUAGGCGGACUGUCCAGUCAGGGGUGAAAUCCCGGGGCUCAACCUCGGAACUGCCUUUGAUACUGACAGUCUAGAGUCUGUGAGAGGAUGACGGAAUAUCCAGUGUAGAGGUGAAAUUCGUAGAUAUUGGAUAGAACACCGGUGGCGAAGGCGGUCAUCUGGCGCAGUACUGACGCUGAGGCGCGAAAGCGUGGGGAGCAAACAGG